CGACCGGGACGGCCUGGUCGCUUCCCUGGGGCACAGCCGGGACGACCUGG
rfam:Rhizobium sp. CF142 PMI11_contig_115.115, whole genome shotgun sequence.